UUAUAACUGAAGUAAGUUGUUAAUGUUGUGGAUGAUAUUGAGAGACCAGCUUGCUUCCUUUGACUUCACUGCCUGCUAUGAGCACGUUUGUGCCUUCGUUCAGGUAAAAGGAUAUUUUGGAUGGGUUGUGGGGAUUUUGUUUGUUUGUUUGCUACUGGGGAAAUAUCAUGUGGCUGCUGAUCUGAAAGGGGACUGGUUUUUUCACAGAUUAGCGUGUAGAUGCUGGUUGAGAAUUCAGAAGCCCUGAGAGUUGAGGGUUUUUUGUGCGUGGGUGGAAGCAUGGGCAUGCUGACAGCCUCCAUUGCAGUUCUGAGAAUCUCGCUUUCUGAUAGGGCUCUCCUACCUGGAAACAAACUGUUCGUUGAGGAACUGAAUGAACAAAGUCAAAUUUCGUACAGAUUUCUCUUUAAGGCUGUCGUUGGAGUUUCUUAAAUCUAGCAGAAAUGGGACUUGUGGCUUUCCCACAGCUGGGCCACUUGUAAUCUUGUGCAAAUUCUGUAGUGGCAAAUAAGUUGAGCUCACUCUUUGGUCUUUCCUUUGGCAAGGGCAGUGAUACUGUCUCAUUCAUCUGCUGGCUUGUUUUCAUAAAGUGAGUAGAAAUUCAGUAUCUUUGAGAGAAUUACAGCUUCAUUAAAAAUCGCGUAGGAGCAGAAAAUUGGUGGUGACAGAAGGAAAGAUUGCGUAUAUGUAUGUGCUAUAUGAUUAAUAAGCUUUGUUUUCUUAAGGGCUGGACUAGAAGUCUGUGUUACGUUGGCAGUAAGAAGUAAUACAGCUCUUUCUUGAACUGCUGUAUUAAUGUCCUGUGUUUGAUUUGUCAUCCUUGAGUCCCAGUGUAGCGUAGCUUAGUAAGAGAUGAGCUAAUCUUUUCAUAAUAGGAAUUGCAAGAUCCUAGUAGAAGUCUCCUUUUGGUUUUGGGCAUUUGAAAUACGUGGUUGUGUUUGUUUUACUUUGUUUGAUGAGUAAACCAUUCACAAAAUGUUUGGAAUGAAAGUUCCCAGCUAAUCAGUGAAAUGUUAUGGCAGCUUUUGUGUUUUUUACAAAAAAGACUUUUAAGAAAUACUUGAACAUGGACAACUGUACUAUACAUGCUCCCUUUUUAUGCGUUGUCAUCAAAUUUCAUUCCUUCUCUGUUGUUCUCCCAGAUCUGCAGCUGUGUGUGGCAAGUUAGUGUUGUGCAAGUUUCUGGUCACUCUGCAAGCUCUGUUAUGAUGAGUUACUUCACGUGGGCCACUGAACUGAUGGCCCUGUUGGGUUAUCCAACUUUGAAAUAUCUGCUGAGUCUCCACUGAGAACUUCUGACUAAUGUAGUUAGCUUGUUGGGAAAAACAAAACAAAACACAACAGUUUUGGCACCUUUAUUGAGAGUGCUGUGUUUAUUAAUAGUCUUCCCCUUGAGCUUUUUUGUUCCUGUAUUUUUCAUGGAUGGAUGCCUUGGGCACAUCUGUGCAGCAGUUACUCCUGCAUUAGCUGUCUUGCUUUACAAAGUCAUUACUACUUUAGUUAGCAUCUGAACAGGAAACACAGUGUUGGAAAGGGAGGAUGAUCAGGAUACUUUCAUAAGCUUUCCUACAAAGUUUGAUCAAUGUAAAACACCAUCCAUCGUUUGGGAUGUCACCUGGCAGGAACUUGGAGGCACCUUCCCAUCUCUUCAGCAAGGAUCUCUUCCUUUUUUAGUAGAGGUAGCUAAUCCUUCAUUAGUCUUUUAUAGAGCUCAGCUUUUAAUACUUGCUAGUUCAAUGGUGAGCCACC
rnacentral:lncRNA from 1 species